AACAGCUUUAAAGACAAACAAAAUGAAAAAGCACCUUAGAAAAGUUUUAAAACUGGAAGACAUUGGACCCCUUCUACUGAAGACAAGAGUAUUGAACUGCACAGUUUUAAGUUCUCAGUUUCUCAUGGAGCACUGAGGUUACGUGUGCAUUUUAACCUGAAAUACAGUUACUGGUAGAUUUCCAAUUUAUGUAAUUAAGCUGGAAUAACUGCAAACUACUUCAUAGCAUUACAGCUUUGUAGAAAGAAUAAAAAGGAAAUCCUAGCCCUCACCCAAUAGAAUCGUCUUGAAAUUUUUUACCUGAUUUAAUUCUUCAUCAUUUGCUACAGCCAACAGGAUAUGUCUAGGAGUUACGCGGCCCUUUUUGUUGUCCCGAGCUGCAUUUCCAGCCAAUUCAAGAAUUUCCGCUGUGAGGGAAGAUAAAACCUUCUCAGUUAAAUCACUACAAGAACGAUGGAUUAUGAUUGGUGAAUACAGCUACAAAGCACUGUAUUAAACGUUUGCUUGCAACUGAACAAAGUUUAUGCUCAGAUUGUACAGCGACAGGCUGGGACACCAUCCUUCUCAAAGAGGUGGGAAGACUUGUACAAAUGCAUAGAAACUCCUAUAAAAUACGGGUCAUGCAGAAAAAGAGAAGAAAAUAUUGUGUCUCCAGAUUAAAUAAAUAUUGGAAUUUCAGUCUAUAGUGGGUGUUUAGCUAUUAGGUCCACUAAAUCUUUUAUAAUUAGCAUUUUUCUGUCUGAAAUGAUUCUUUGUAUUAACCGGUACGAGAAGAGAGCAACAUGUGGCCCUAAAGCAACACACAGGUCUGAGACUGGUUCAAGCAACCUGCAGGCUCUCAUUAGAACUCCAAAUUUUCAUUUUUUAAAACAAAGAUUCUUGUCCUCAUUAUUGCAAAGACAUAUCCUAAAGGCUGUUAACAGUAAGUGCUAAGAGCUUAGAAAAAGCCAAGUAUAGAGAAGCCCAAAACCAUUCUGCUUUUCGGUUCAUGUGGUUUGAGAUGGAUUUUUCAUAUUCUGAAUUUCUACAAAAAUCCCAUUAGAAGUUUGAUACAGAGAAGUUGCAACAAGCUUACCAAUUAAGGUUUGGUAUCUAAUUGGCUAGGA